rnacentral:rRNA from 1 species
UACGUAGGGUGCGAGCGUUGUCCGGAAUUAUUGGGCGUAAAGAGCUUGUAGGUGGUUUGUCGCGUCUGCUGUGAAAAUCCGAGGCUCAACCUCGGACUUGCAGUGGGUACGGGCAGACUAGAGUGUGGUAGGGGAGACUGGAAUUCCUGGUGUAGCGGUGGAAUGCGCAGAUAUCAGGAAGAAUAUCCGUGGCGAAGGCGGCUCUCUGGUACGGCACUGACGCUGAGACGCGAAAGCGUGGGGAGCGAACAGG